CAUAGCGACUAUCGUGGCAUAUCAAUAAGCGGAGGAAAAGAAAACUAACAAGGAUUCCCUUAGUAACGGCGAGUGAAGCGGGAAGAGCUCAAUUUUGAAAUCUUCAAGGUUUUUACCUUGACGAAUUGUAGUUUAAAGAAGUGUUUUUCUGUUGGAGUUUUUGGUAAAAGUUCUUUGGAAUAGGACAUCAUAGAGGGUGAGAAUCCCGUAUUUGACCAUUAUUUCCAGCUGUGUGAUACACUUUCAAAGGGUCGGAUUGUUUUGGGAAUGCAGUCCAAAAUGGGUGGUAAAUUUCAUCUAAAGCUAAAUAUUGGCGAGAGGACCGAUAGCGAACAAGUACCGUGAGGGAAAGAUGAAAAGAACUUUGAAAAGAGAGUUAAAACAGUACGUGAAAAUUGUCAAAAGGGAAGCGUUUUGACACCAGUGUUGUUUUUCUCGAAAAUCAAUUAAAAAAUGGCCGGAUUUUGUGUUGUAUUGACUUUAUCAGCUUUCUGCACUUUUUUUCUUAUCUUUUUUUAAUGCACUUUUUCGUUUAACAAGUCAACAUCAAUUUCUUUUGUUGUAAAAGAGUCAUUGGAAGGUGGCUUUCAUUUCGGUGAAAGUGUUUUAUAGCCUUUGACUUCUGCAAUCGGAGAGAUUGAGGUCUGCAGCGUAGAUCCUUCGGGGUUAGAUACAUUUGUGCUAAGUUAUAGUUUUUUCAUAGACAACAUGUUGACUAUGAUUAAUCAUGUAGCUUACUCGCUUAUGCUAUUUUACCUACGCUUAGGAUGUUGAUAGUCACAGCGUGUAC
rnacentral:rRNA from 1 species